rnacentral:rRNA from 1 species
AAUCAACGCUGGCGGCGUGCCUCAGACAUGCAAGUCGAACGAUUAAAGCUCUCUUCGGAGAGUGCAUAGAGUGGCGCACGGGUGAGUAACACGUAAGUAAUCUACCCUCGAGUGGGGAAUAACAGUCGGAAACGACUGCUAAUACCGCAUAAUGCAGCGGCACCGCAAGGUGACAGUUGUUAAAGGAGCAAUCCGCUUGAGGAGGAGCUUGCGGCAGAUUAGCUAGUUGGUAAGGUAAUGGCUUACCAAGGCUACGAUCUGUAUCCGGUCUAAGAGGACGGUCGGACACACUGACACUGAAUAACGGGUCAGACUCCUACGGGAGGCAGCAGUCGGGAAUUUUGGGCAAUGGGCGAAAGCCUGACCCAGCAACGCCGCGUGAAGGAUGAAGUAUUUCGGUAUGUAAACUUCGAAAGAAUGGGAAGAAUAAAUGACGGUACCAUUUAUAAGCUCCGGCUAACUUCGUGCCAGCAGCCGCCGUAA